rnacentral:rRNA from 1 species
UACAGAGGGUGCAGGCGGUAAUCGGAAUUACUGGGCGUAAAGGGCGCGUAGGUGGUUAAUUAAGUCAGAUGUGAAAUCCCUGGGCUUAACCUAGGAAUUGCAUAUGAAACUGAUUGGCUAGAGUACGGGAGAGGGAAGUGGAAUUUCCGGUGUAGCGGUGAAAUGCGUAGAUAUCGGAAGGAACACCAGUGGCGAAGGCGACUUCCUGGCCCGUUACUGACACUGAGGCGCGAAAGCGUGGGGAGCGAACAGG